rnacentral:tRNA from 1 species
UAACUUCUUAAUUAAUGAAUUUCUAAUUCAUAUUUGGGCACCCCGGAAGUUUU